CGGAUUCUGGCUCAGGAUGAACGCUAGCUACAGGCUUAACACAUGCAAGUCGAGGGGCAGCAUUGAGAUAGCUUGCUAUUCAGAUGGCGACCGGCGCACGGGUGAGUAACGCGUAUCCAACCUUCCCCUUAGUAGAGGAUAGCCCGGCGAAAGUCGGAUUAAUACUCUAUGUUGUAUUUUGAGGACAUCUGACGAAUACCAAAGAUUCAUCGCUAAGGGAUGGGGAUGCGUCUGAUUAGCUUGUUGGCGGGGUAACGGCCCACCAAGGCGACGAUCAGUAGGGGUUCUGAGAGGAAGGUCCCCCACAUUGGUACUGAGACACGGACCAAACUCCUACGGGAGGCAGCAGUGAGGAAUAUUGGUCAAUGGGCGAGAGCCUGAACCAGCCAAGUAGCGUGCAAGGAAGACUGCCCUAUGGGUUGUAAACUGCUUUUAUCAGGGAAUAAAGUUCGGCACGUGUGCUGUUUUGUAUGUACCUGAUGAAUAAGGACCGGCUAAUUCCGUGCCAGCCGCCGC
rnacentral:rRNA from 1 species